GAUGAAGAACGUAGCGAAAUGCGAUAAGUAAUGUGAAUUGCAGAAUUCAGUGAAUCAUCGAAUCUUUGAACGCACCUUGCAGCCUUUGGCAUUCUGAAGGGUAUGCUCGUUUGAGUGUCAUUGUACUCUCACACUCCCGAUCUUUGCAUUGGGAGCAGUGGACUUGGGUUUGCUGCUUCACCGUCGCUUACCUCAAAUAGGUUAGUGCAACUCUUGGUUGGACAUAGUACGGCGUGAUAAGUGUUCUUCGCCGGUGCCUCGCAAAGAGGGUGGCCGAUCGGGAUGUUGUGCUCCAAACCGUCUUCGGACAAUCUCUGACGACUUGACCUCAAAUCGAGUAAGACUACCCGCUGAACUUAAGCAUAUCAAUAAGCGGAGGA
rnacentral:misc_RNA from 1 species